rnacentral:piRNA from 1 species
UGAUCUUCAUGAAGAAGCUUCCAGAUUCUA